ACGCUGGCGGCAUGCCUUACACAUGCAAGUCGAACGGCAGCACGGAGCUUGCUCUGGUGGCGAGUGGCGAACGGGUGAGUAAUAUAUCGGAACGUACCCUAGAGUGGGGGAUAACGUAGCGAAAGUUACGCUAAUACCGCAUACGAUCUAAGGAUGAAAGUGGGGGAUCGCAAGACCUCAUGCUCGUGGAGCGGCCGAUAUCUGAUUAGCUAGUUGGUAGGGUAAAAGCCUACCAAGGCAUCGAUCAGUAGCUGGUCUGAGAGGACGACCAGCCACACUGGAACUGAGACACGGUCCAGACUCCUACGGGAGGCAGCAGUGGGGAAUUUUGGACAAUGGGCGAAAGCCUGAUCCAGCAAUGCCGCGUGAGUGAAGAAGGCCUUCGGGUUGUAAAGCUCUUUUGUCAGGGAAGAAACGGUGGAGGCUAAUAUCCUUUGCUAAUGACGGUACCUGAAGAAUAAGCACCGGCUAACUACGUGCCAGCAGCCGCGGUAAUACGUAGGGUGCAAGCGUUAAUCGGAAUUACUGGGCGUAAAGCGUGCGCAGGCGGUUUUGUAAGUCUGAUGUGAAAUCCCCGGGCUCAACCUGGGAAUUGCAUUGGAGACUGCAAGGCUAGAAUCUGGCAGAGGGGGGUAGAAUUCCACGUGUAGCAGUGAAAUGCGUAGAUAUGUGGAGGAACACCGAUGGCGAAGGCAGCCCCCUGGGUCAAGAUUGACGCUCAUGCACGAAAGCGUGGGGAGCAAAC
rnacentral:rRNA from 1 species